rnacentral:tRNA from 1 species
GGAGGGUUGGCAGAGUCCGGUUGAUUGCGCACGACUCGAAAUCGUGUAGGCGGUUGAUCCCGCCUCGGGGGUUCGAAUCCCUCACCCUCCG